AAAAAAAAUCACUAAAGAAAUAGGCUACGAUUUAAGUAUUGAUUAUAGUUUCUGUCCCUGGAUGACGGCUGUAAUGACUGAUGACCUCAGUAUUUCUCAAAUCCUUAGUAUAAGCCAAAUCCUGUUCAAAGUCUUCAUGAAAUGAUGUGGGAUAGAGAGGGAGUGACAAACUGACAAAAGCACAUUAAUGUAAAGCUUAAAAAUUCUGUUUUGAGUUCUGCCAGCAAACAACAGGGCUCUCACAAACUGGGAAGAACUCCGGGGAAGCGAGCCAAAGCCAGCGUGUCCCAUCUACAGUUGCUUUGCACAUCUUGAUCCAUGUCUCAUCGGCUGAGCGAUACCUUGGCUGUUGUUUAUUCUCAUGGGAUUGGUCUGGUUCUCCACAUCUUGCUGCUGCUAGUGAAGUGCCCAGACUCUGCUACCCAGUAUUCCCCCUCUGCAAAAAUAAAGCAGAAAGGACUUGUCGUUCAUUAUAUAAAUUGUUUCACAAAGAAUAGUAAAAUGGAGGCUGGAGCUGAAUGAGGUCCAUGGAUUGAGCUGACAAGAGCAAACCGCAGUGAAAGAGCAAGCUGGAUUUCCCAGACAGCUCUUCAUCAUGAUCUGAUUGUUCGUUUCUGUGUCACCGCUGGGCUUGCCGAUGUGCAGGGUUAGCAGCAUACCAUUUUGUAGCUUGUGAACCUUUCUCAUUGGGCAUGAUACAUCUUCUUCCUGCCGCUCUGGGGCAGACCAGUUCAGUGUUUGUACUGCUCUGAGACUCAAAGUCUUAAUUCCACGUUUCACACAGUUAACUCUUUUUCUUAUGUAAUCACUUCAGUUUGUCAACCAAAAUGCGUCCAAGUGAAAGCUGUUAACAAUGCAGAAAAGUUUCUGUUACUUUACUUGAGUAAGUUAUACAUUCUCUUCCAUCCUACUGUAUCUACACCUUCUUUCUUUUUUCUUUUCUUUUCUUUUUUUUUCUUUUAGUUUUUCAAGACAAGGUUUCCCUGUCUAGUCCUGAUUGUUCUGGAACUCACUCUGUAGAUUAG